UACAUAUAAAUAAAAUUGGAGUGUCUGUUUGUAAUAUUGAAAUAACUGCUUUUUACUGCAUGCAUAUAAAUGUAUAUAGCUACGCGGUCAUUCCGAUAGAGGCACCCGUCACGUGCGGACGUGCUCAUCGUCCACUCGAUCGCCCGGUCUUUGUUCGCCCGGCUUUUGUUAGCCCGGCCAUUGUUCGCGCGGCCUGUGUUCGUGGUACAUCUGCCGACUAAGUGCUCUUUCUGGAAGUUUUUAUUUGUUUUGUUUCCUUUUGUUGUUUCUGUGUUCGUGGUACAUCUGCCGACAAAGUGGUUUCCUGCAAGUAUUUAUUUGUUUUGUUUCUUUUCGUAAUUUCUGUUUUGUUGUGCUUUUUCUUUGUCCUGUAGUAAUCGCGCCGCAUUGCCACCUGUGUUCAAUAGAGCCGCUUAGGUCCGAGAAGUUGGGGCCUCGCCGCAAGGCGAGUGUUUUCAAGACCCGGGGCCGCCCCACCUGGGUACACAGCGAUCAUGGACGCUGUAUUCGCGGAAUUCCUCCGACUUCGCCACCCACAGCUCGCCUCGGAGUUUCUGGCCUUCAAGGCCAAUCACACUGCGAGCCCUCUCGAGGACUCCGCCGCGCUCGCUGCUCCUGCGUCGCCUGUACCUGCGUGCAGAGCUUCUGCAUUGAGCACCGCAGCCUCUGUCGUGCCUGCCGCUCCCGUGUCGCCUAUACUGGCGAGAAAAGCUGCUGCGUCGUCCGCCGUGACCAUCGUUUCAGCUGAGCGAUCAUCCGCGGCCUCCGUCGCGCCCUCUAAAACACCUACACUUGCUCGUAGGUCGCCUGCACCCGCCUCCUCGUGCUCCGACUCUGACUCGGACAUGGAGGUCGACCUCGCCCCCGCCUCAUCGACGGAUGGAUUCACCCUGGUACAGAAGGGUAAGAAGCGUGCCGCGGAGUCUCGAGCUCCCGCGGCCGCUAAAAUUAGCAAAGCCGUGAACGCGUCGCGCCCCCGCCCUCCGACUCCCGUUGCGCCCCCAGCCCGUGCCACUCCGUCGCCGCGUCCGGUGGCACAAAAUAAAACCCAGACCCCUCCCCCGGUUAUCCUUCAGGAGAAGGCAGCUUGGGAUCGAGUUUGCCUGGCCCUUAAGGCCAAAAAUAUAAAUUUCACGAAUGCCCGUAACCUCGCGAACGGCAUUCAAAUUAAGGUUCAAACACCCGACGACCAUAGGGCCCUCUCUUCUUACCUCCGUAAGGAGCGUAUAAGUUUCCAUACGUAUACGCUCCAGGAGGAGCGCGAACUCCGCGUUGUAAUACGCGGAAUCCCUAAAGAGUUAGAUGUAGAGCUCGUAAAAGCCGACCUGUUAGAACAAGGCCUACCAGUGAAUUCUGUGCACCGUAUGCACACCGGUCGCGGUAGGGAGCCAUAUAAUAUGGUUCUAGUCGCUCUCCAGCCUACCCCCGAGGGUAAGAAAAUCUUUAACACACAGACCGUCUGUAGGCUCUCUGGUAUCGCUGUCGAAGCCCCCCAUAAAAAAGGCACUCCUAGCCAGUGCCAUAACUGUCAAUUGUACGGGCACUCUUCCCGUAACUGUCACGCGCGCCCCCGAUGUGUUAAGUGUUUGGGCGAUCACGCCACGGCCCUCUGCGCUCGCGACCAAAAAACCGCGACGGAACCGCCUAGCUGCGUCCUGUGUCGAACACAGGGUCACCCCGCGAAUUACCGUGGUUGCCCCCGAGCCCCUAAAAUAAAUCGCCGCGUCGCCCGCCAAAACCGCCUCCGAGCUUCCGGCCCAGACAUCAAAGCCUCGGCACCCUCUGCGUCGCAGGCUAAGCCAGCGUUCGUUCCGGCGGCGGUGCCCAGUGUCUCGGCCUGGGCAAAACCGCUGCCGUACACGAACACGGCUACAACUCCCUCCUCCGCGAUUCGUCCCGCCCCCGCGACUCGUCCCUCUCCCGCGACUUGCCCUCCGACCGCGUCCGACAAUCUCGCUUUAGCGAUCGACUUCUUUCAGUCGAUCAACUUUGAGCGCGUUAACGCUUUGGGCGACGCCAUUCGCGCUGCCUCCACUGCACAACACUUUAUCGCCGUUGUGCAGGAAUACGCCGACGUAUACGCGUCAUUAAAUACGUACGUCCUCCCCUCACUCCGCCGGUAAUCAAUGGCGUAUAUAAGUAGAAUAAAGCCCCUAUCCGUAACGAUAGGAUUUUUUAACGCUUACGGUCUCGCAAAUCAACGUGAUCAGGUUUCUGACUUUUUGCGUGACCACCAAAUUGAUAUCUUUUUAGUGCAGGAGACCCUACUUAAGCCCGCGCGCCGUGACCCUAAAAUCGCGAACUAUAACAUGGUCAGGAACGACAGGCUCUCUGCCCGUGGUUGUGGUACCGUCAUUUACUAUAGAAGAGCCCUGCAUUGCGUCCCGCUCGAUCCUCCCGCGCUCGCUAAUAUCGAAGCAUCAGUGUGCCGAAUCUCACUGACGGGACACGCGCCGAUCGUUAUCGCGUCCGUUUAUCUUCCACCGGAUAAGAUCGUUCUAAGCAGUGAUAUCGAGGCGCUGCUCGGUAUGGGGAGCUCUGUCAUUCUGGCGGGCGACCUAAAUUGUAAACACAUCAGGUGGAACUCACACACCACAACCCCGAAUGGCAGGCGGCUUGACGCGUUAGUCGAUGAUCUCGCCUUCGAUAUCGUCGCUCCGCUAACCCCGACUCACUACCCGCUAAAUAUCGCGCAUCGCCCGGAUAUACUCGACAUAGCGUUAUUAAAAAACGUAACUCUGCGCUUACACCCGAUCGAAGUAGUUUCAGAGUUAGAUUCAGACCACCGUCCCGUCGUUACGAAGCUCGGUCGCGCUCCCGAUUCCGUUCCCGUCACGAGGACUGUGGUGGAUUGGCACACGCUGGGCAUCAGCCUGGCUGAAUCUGAUCCACCAUCGCUUCCGUUUAGUCCGGACUCUAUCCCGUCUCCUCAGGAUACCGCUGAAGCCAUAGACAUCGUAACGUCACACAUCACCUCGACAUUAGAUAGGUCAUCGAAGCAAGUUGUAGCGGAGGACUUCCUUCAUCGCUUCAAAUUGCCCGACGAUAUUAGGGAACUCCUUAGAGCUAAGAACGCCUCGAUCCGUGCGUACGAUAGGUAUCCUACCGCGGAAAAUCGUAUUCGAAUGCGUGCCCUACAACGCGACGUAAAGUCUCGCAUCACCGAAGUCCGAGAUGCCAGAUGGUCUGAUUUCUUAGAAGGACUCGCGCCCUCUCAAAGGUCUUACUACCGCUUAGCUCGUACUCUCAAAUCGGAUACGGUAGUAACUAUGCCCCCCCUCGUAGGCCCCUCAGGCCGACUCGCGGCCUUUGAUGAUGACGAAAAAGCAGAGCUGCUGGCCGAUACAUUGCAAACCCAGUGCACGCCCAGCACUCAAUCCGUGGACCCUGUUCAUGUAGAAUUAGUAGACAGUGAGGUAGAACGCAGAGCCUCCUUGCCACCCUCUGAUGCGUUACCACCCGUCACCCCGAUGGAAGUUAAAGACUUGAUCAAAGACCUACGUCCUCGCAAGGCUCCCGGUUCCGACGGUAUAUCCAACCGCGUUAUUAAACUUCUACCCGUCCAACUCAUCGUGAUGUUGGCAUCUAUUUUCAAUGCCGCUAUGGCGAACUGUAUCUUUCCCGCGGUGUGGAAAGAAGCGGACGUUAUCGGCAUACAUAAACCCGGUAAACCAAAAAAUCAUCCGACGAGCUACCGCCCGAUUAGCCUCCUCAUGUCUCUAGGCAAACUGUAUGAGCGUCUGCUCUACAAACGCCUCAGAGACUUCGUCUCAUCCAAGGGCAUUCUUAUCGAUGAACAAUUCGGAUUCCGUACAAAUCACUCAUGCGUUCAACAGGUGCACCGCCUCACGGAGCACAUUCUUGUGGGGCUUAAUCGACCAAAACCGUUAUACACGGGAGCUCUCUUCUUCGACGUCGCAAAAGCGUUCAACAAAGUCUGGCACAAUGGUUUGAUUUUCAAACUAUUCAACAUGGGCAUGCCGGAUAGUCUCGUGCUCAUCAUACGGGACUUCUUGUCGAACCGCUCUUUUCGAUAUCGAGUCGAGGGAACCCGCUCCUCCUCACGACCUCUCACAGCUGGAGUCCCGCAAGGCUCUGUCCUCUCACCCCUCCUAUUUAGCUUAUUCGUCAACGAUAUUCCCCGGUCGCCGCCGACCCAUUUAGCUUUAUUCGCCGACGACACGACUGUUUACUAUUCUAGUAGAAAUAAGUCCCUAAUCGCGAAGAAGCUUCAGAGCGCAGCCCUAGCCCUAGGACAGUGGUUCCGAAAAUGGCGCAUAGACAUCAACCCAGCGAAAAGUACUGCGGUGCUAUUUCAGAGGGGAAGCUCCACACGGAUUUCCUCCCGGAUUAGGAGGAGGAAUCUCACACCCCCGAUUACUCUCUUUAGACAACCCAUACCCUGGGCCAGGAAGGUCAAGUACCUGGGCGUUACCCUGGAUGCAUCGAUGACAUUCCGCCCGCAUAUAAAAUCAGUCCGUGACCGUGCCGCGUUUAUUCUCGGUAGACUCUACCCCAUGAUCUGUAAGCGGAGUAAAAUGUCCCUUCGGAACAAGGUGACACUUUACAAAACUUGCAUAAGGCCCGUCAUGACUUACGCGAGUGUGGUGUUCGCUCACGCGGCCCGCACACACAUAGACACCCUCCAAUCCCUACAAUCCCGCUUUUGCAGGUUAGCCGUCGGAGCUCCGUGGUUCGUGAGGAACGUUGACCUACACGACGACCUGGGCCUCGAAUCAAUUCGGAAAUACAUGAAGUCAGCGUCGGAACGAUACUUCGAUAAGGCUAUGCGUCAUGAUAAUCGCCUUAUCGUUGCCGCCGCUGACUACUCCCCGAAUCCUGAUCAUGCAGGAGCCAGUCACCGUCGACGCCCUAGACACGUCCUUACGGAUCCAUCAGAUCCAAUAACCUUUGCAUUAGAUGCCUUCAGCUCUAAUACUAGGGGCAGGCUUAGGGACCCCGGUAACCGUACUCGUCGAACUCGACAAAGAGGUCGACGUGCAACCUAACCCAUGCAUCAGCCCGCUGAGUUUCUCGCCGGAUCUUCUCAGCGGGUCGCGAUUCCGAUCCGGUAGUAGAUUCAUUCGCGAAACAAUUGCUCUUGAGUUGUUAGGUCUCCUUCGGAGGCGCUCGGGCAGUUGUUAGCAAAUCCCACCCCUCUUGGCUGAGCCUUUGCUCGCCCACCUGUCCUGGUGAAACUGGAAAGGCCUUCGGGCCACCAGUAAACUUUCAAUCAUAAAAAAAAAAAAAAAAAAUAAAAAAAAAAAAAAAAAAAAAAGCUACGCGGUACGGGUUUUUGUCUGCCUUUCUGUUCGUCCGAAGCGAAGCGAGGGCGGGUCGCUAGUUUUAUAAUAUAAAUAUUUGUUUUAGUCACAACGAGAGUUGCCAUCUUGAGUCAAGUGCGAGAUCAUUUCAUCUCUUUUUUACUGUUAAACUACCCGCCUACACUUUUACUCGAAACUGCUGGGUUCAUUUAUAAUGAAGAGAUCAUUUUAGCCAUGCACCUGUUAGCUCUGUAAGGAGUCCUCCUCACCAUGUUGCCCGAAAAGGCAAGAUUUGAAAUUGACUCUAGCAAUAGGCAGCGGAUUGAUAAUGCCCCUGCCAUUACUGAGAUAAAUGAGCACAUUAAGACCAUAUUUUUACCGAGCUAAGAUACUCGCUCAGUGGAAGAUUUUCUCUUUGUAGGCUAAUCAAAUAGGAGGAAACACGUGGUAGAAGUGAAAGCAAUUUAUUCUUUCGCAGGCUAAAUCCAAUAUAUAGAUUUUUGUUGGUUUUUUGUGUCUUUUUUUCACAGAUUUGUCAUUUUCGUUUCAUCGUGAAUUUAAUUACAACAGUGACAGAGAAGUUUUCUAUAGAGAAGAAUAUAAUUACUAUUUUAUUCACACAUUUCCAUUAAUUACAAUACAAUUACUAUAAAUGAAUAAACUUUAAUUGCGUUCCAUUAACAAGACUUAGUUUUAAUAAAUUCAGCCGUGGAUUAAUAACUUGAAUUAAGAUGCUCCUAAUACUACAAUGGUGUAAUUUCUUUACUAUUAUUUUUAUUAUGCUCAUCACAAUUAAUCAACACUGCAAAACAUGUUCUUACCCCGUCUACCCUAACACAUAAAUAGACACGUCAGUGAUUCAAUAUCGCAUGUUCAGCCUCUAUACAUAUCAUUUAGUAUAAAUAAUAAUAUAUUUUCUUUCCCCAAAUUCCUUUCAACAGCCCUUCCAUUAUGGAAUCCAAUAAGCAAUAACUUCUUACCUGAAAUAGUGCUAUUGACACUUGAAGGGCAUCUGUAUUAACCCUUUCACCCUAAACUAUUCAGAACUAUUCGUUACGAGAAUUUCCUAAGUAAUUAUUAUAAAGUUAGUGUUUGUAUCUUACAAAAUUACUAGUAGGUAUUAAGUUUGCGCGGGUCACUUUUUUUUAUAGCCCUUAUAGGCAGACGAGCGCACGGCCCACCUGAUGGUGAGUGGUUACCGUCACCCAUGGACUUCAGCAAUGCCAGAGGCAGAGCCAAGCCGCUUCCUACCGGUCAUUAUUGAAUGUGGCUAUAAAGCGGCUUUUCCACCGAGCCUCUCUAUAAUGCUGUGCUGUGCUGCCAAUAUCUGGCAGUUAAUAUAGAUUAACAAGCGACAGAGGGCGAGGAAGUUAUGUCCUGAAAAGCGGACGGAUAUUAAAACUUUAACCUGUCUUUCAAGUCUUCUUCUCAUCCUGAGCAUUCCAGUUCGAAUCCAAAGCGCGAAGCCCCAGAGUAUCCACGGUGUCUGCAGGUCGGUCACGUGUAAUUCUCUACAUGACGUCCGGGAGAAACUAAGCGAUUGCGUAGUGAUCAUGG